UUUUUAUUUCCCCAUUUGCUCAAUUCCAUGAUUUAUAAGAGUUCUAAUUUGAACCAUGGCAGAAAUGCCACCACAGAAACAGUGGGGGUUUUCUCCACAAAAUUUAUUAUAAUUGUUUCCAGGCCCCAGGGCACAUUAUCAUGUGGAAGUAUAUAUUUUAAAAUGGUGUUUCAAAUUUAUUUAGCCUUUUAAAAUUUCAAAGUAAAAAUCUAUACUUUUUUACUUUGUUUUU
rnacentral:lncRNA from 1 species